UAGUAUAAGCAUUAUACCGUGAAACUGCGAAUGGCUCAUUAAAUCAGUUAUCGUUUAUUUGAUAAUACCUUACUACUUGGAUAACCGUGGUAAUUCUAGAGCUAAUACAUGCUGAAAAUCCCGACUUCGGAAGGGAUGUGUUUAUUAGAUAAAAAACCAAUGCCCUUCGGGGCUCUUUGGUGAUUCAUGAUAACUUUACGGAUCGCAUAGCCUUGCGCUGGCGACGGUUCAUUCAAAUUUCUGCCCUAUCAACUUUCGAUGGUAAGGUAUUGGCUUACCAUGGUUUCAACGGGUAACGGGGAAUUAGGGUUCGAUUCCGGAGAGGGAGCCUGAGAAACGGCUACCACAUCCAAGGAAGGCAGCAGGCGCGCAAAUUACCCAAUCCCGACACGGGGAGGUAGUGACAAUAAAUACUGAUACAGGGCUCUUUUGGGUCUUGUAAUUGGAAUGAGUACAAUUUAAACCUCUUAACGAGGAACAAUUGGAGGGCAAGUCUGGUGCCAGCAGCCGCGGUAAUUCCAGCUCCAAUAGCGUAUAUUAAAGUUGUUGCAGUUAAAAAGCUCGUAGUUGAAACUUGGGCCUGGCUGGCGGGUCCGCCUCACCGCGUGCACUCGUCCGGCCGGGCCUUCCUUCUGAAGAACCUCAUGCCCUUCACUGGGCGUGUUGGGGAAUCAGGACUUUUACUUUGAAAAAAUUAGAGUGUUCAAAGCAGGCCUUUGCUCGAAUACGUUAGCAUGGAAUAAUAAAAUAGGGCGUGCGUUUCUAUUUUGUUGGUUUCUAGAGACGCCGCAAUGAUUAACAGGAACAGUCUGGGGCAUCACUAUUCAGUUGUCAGAGGUGAAAUUCUUGGAUUUACUGAAGA
rnacentral:rRNA from 1 species